GUCCACGCCGUAAACGAUGCUAACUCGUUUUUGGGGCUUCGGCUUCAGAGACUAAGCGAAAGUGAUAAGUUAGCCACCUGGGGGAGUACGUUCGCAAGAAUGAAACUCAAAGGAAUUGACGGGGGCCCGCACAAGCGGUGGAUUAUGUGGUUUAAUUCGAUGAUACGCGAGGAACCUUACCAAGACUUAAAUGGGAAAUGACAGGUCUAGAAAUAGACCCUUCUUCGGACAUUUUUCAAGGUGCUGCAUGGUUGUCGU
rnacentral:rRNA from 1 species